UCAGAUGAUGCGUCAUGCAUAUCAAUAAGCGGAGGAAAAGAAACUAACAAGGAUUCCCCUAGUAACGGCGAGUGAAGCGGGAAGAGCUCAAAUUUGAAAUCUUAAAGGGUUUCCUUUACGAAUUGUAGUUUAAAGAAGUGUUUUCUGUUGAGGUUUUGGUAAAGGUUCUUUGGAAUAGGACAUCAUAGAGGGUGAGAAUCCCGUAUUUGACCUUUACUUUCAACUUUGUGAUACACUUUCAAAGAGUCGGAUUGUUUGGGAAUGCAGUCCAAAAUGGGUGGUAAAUUUCAUCUAAAGCUAAAUAUUGGCGAGAGACCGAUAGCGAACAAGUACCGUGAGGGGAAAGAUGAAAAGAACUUUGAAAAGAGAGUUAAACAGUACGUGAAAUUGUCAAAAGGGAAGCGUUUGACACCAGUGUUGUUUUUCUGAAAAUCAAUUAAAGAACUGUUUAUGCUAAGCUGUUUAGACUUUAUCAGCUAUCUGUUUAGUUUUAGGCUUUUCUUUAAUGCACUUUUCAGUUAACAAGUCAACAUCAAUUUCUUUUGCUGUAAAAAAGCUUGAGGAAGGUGGCUUGAGAUUCGUCUUAAGUGUUUAUAGCCUCUUGCCUAUGCAGUCGGAGAGAUUGAGGUCUGCAGCGUAGAUCCUUCGGGGCUAAAUGCAUUUGUGCUAAGUUAUAGCAUUUUAUAGACAACUUGUUGACUAUGAUUUGUCUUGUAGCUUACUCGCUUAUGUUAUUUUACCUACGCUUAGGAUGUUGACACACGCGCGUGCUCG
rnacentral:rRNA from 1 species